rnacentral:rRNA from 1 species
CCUACGGGUGUGCAGCAGUGGGGAAUAUUGGACAAUGGGCGAAAGCCUGAUCCAGCCAUGCCGCGUGUGUGAAGAAGGCCUUCGGGUUGUAAAGCACUUUCAGUGGGGAAGAAAGCCUUGGGGCUAAUACCCUCGAGGAAGGACAUCACCCACAGAAGAAGCACCGGCUAACUCCGUGCCAGCAGCCGCGGUAAUACGGAGGGUGCGAGCGUUAAUCGGAAUUACUGGGCGUAAAGCGCGCGUAGGCGGUCUGAUAAGCCGGUUGUGAAAGCCCCGGGCUCAACCUGGGAACGACAUCCGGAACUGUCAGGCUAGAGUGCAGGAGAGGAAGGUAGAAUUCCCGGUGUAGCGGUGAAAUGCGUAGAGAUCGGGAGGAAUACCAGUGGCGAAGGCGGCCUUCUGGACUGACACUGACGCUGAGGUGCGAAAGCGUGGGUAGCAAACAGGAUUAGAUACCCGGGUAGUC